rnacentral:rRNA from 1 species
GACGAACGCUGGCGGCGUGCUUAACACAUGCAAGUCGAGCGGUAAGGCCCUUUCGGGGGUACACGAGCGGCGAACGGGUGAGUAACACGUGGGUGACCUGCCCUCAGCUCUGGGAUAAGCCUGGGAAACCGGGUCUAAUACUGGAUAUGACUCCAUGACGCAUGUUGUGGGGUGGAAAGCCUUGUGCGGCUGAGGAUGGGCCCGCGGCCUAUCAGCUUGUUGGUGGGGUGAUGGCCUACCAAGGCGACGACGGGUAGCCGGCCUGAGAGGGCGACCGGCCACACUGGGACUGAGACGCGGCCCAGACUCCUAUGGGAGGCAGCAGUGGGGAAUCUUGCGCAAUGGGCGAAAGCCUGACGCAGCGACGCCGCGUGAGGGAUGACGGCCU